rnacentral:rRNA from 1 species
GAUGAACGCUAGCUACAGGCUUAACACAUGCAAGUCGCGGGGCAGCAUGGGGGUUGCUUGCAAUCCCCGAUGGCGACCGGCGCACGGGUGAGUAACGCGUAUCCAACCUGCCCUUCACCACGGGAUAACCCGGCGAAAGUCGGACUAAUACCGUAUGUUGUCCAUUGACGGCAUCCGAUUUGGACGAAAGGUUUGGCGGUGAAGGAUGGGGAUGCGUCCGAUUAGCUGGACGGCGGGGUGACGGCCCACCGUGGCGACGAUCGGUAGGGGUUCUGAGAGGAAGGUCCCCCACACUGGAACUGCGACACGGUCCAGACUCCUACGGGAGGCAGCAGUGAGGAAUAUUGGUCACUGGGCGUAAGCCUGAACCAGCCAAGUAGCGUGCAGGAUGACGGCCCUAUGGGUUGUAAACUGCUUUUAUGCGGGGAUAAAGUGGCCCACGUGUGGGUUUUUGCAGGUACCGCAUGAAUAAGGACCGGCUAAUUCCGUG